rnacentral:lncRNA from 1 species
GCCAGGUUAAGUUGGCACAUACCUUCUGUCUUUUGUCUUCCCAUCUUCCUGCCUGGGACAUUGAUGUAAUGUUCAGGAUGGACAUGCGUCUUGUGACUAUGAGGUGACAAUGAUGUUAAUGACAUCUGAGUGGAAAGAAGAUGAAGCCUAGAUUCCUGAACACAUUCAGACCUGCCACAGCAACCUAGCUCUGAACUCCCUUCAAAAUUUCACUCUUGUGGCCCAGGCUGGAGUGCAAUGGCGUGAUCUCAGCUCACUGCAACUUCUACCUCUCGGAUUCAAGUGAUUCUCCUGCCUCAGCCUCCCAGGUAGCUGGGUUUACAGCUACCAAGAAAUUUAAAAUUACGUAUGUGGCUCUUCACAUAUUUCUAAUGAACAACAUUGGAGACUCUUAAGGGAAUGAAAUGGACGUUCUUACUCAUCAUACCAUAAGCAUCCAGGUGAAUGAUUGCUCACUUCUUUCAUCUAAUGAGGAAUUGGCUUUCUUGAGAAUCUCAAUGCAGUGUACCUCCAACCUUAACAGACUGCUGUAAAACACCCUGACCAUUCUUUAGUAUAAGCACUGAAGAAGACAGUAUGUUGACCACGAGGCACCUGGCCUGGCUCAUAGUAUGCCAUCAAGAAAUGCUAAUUUUCUAUUUCCUCUUUUUCAAAGAGUUAUUUCAAGAAAGAAAGGAGAGGAGAGGAUGUUACAAAUUCCAUGUAAAUAAAAUUUGUCACUAAUUCUGUGAACUAAUUGAUAUCAUAAUUUGAUUCUCUUACCUCUUUUUAAUCUCUCUAUUAGUCCAUUUUUAUGCUGUGAAUAAAGACAUACCUGAGACUGGGCAAUUUACAAAAGAAAGAGGUUUAA